CCAAUUAACAUUGUGCUGUUUUCAAAGGUCACAUUGUAUGUCAAGCUGGAACAUUUGCCAUAUCUUCUCUGAGUCUGGAUGAGAUUGAGGAUGUUGCUCUGGGUGGUUGCAGUGACGUCCAGCCACGCACUGGUCAUCAGAUGGCCCAGUGAACGGCUCCCUGGGAGGUCAGAGCUCCCGCCAAUGUACAGCCACUUUCCCAACAUCUAAAGCACACACACAGAAUACACAAUACAUGUAAACAUUUUUCAUCCUCUGGGGCCGGGACCUGGGUUGAAGGGAGAUAUGACACACUAAAUUAAUAUGUGAAGCAUAGUUACAGGAUUCACAUUUUAAAAUAAAAAUGUUUCCCCUGAUAUGGCUUGA